UAUAUAUAUAUAUAUAUCUUUCGUAUACUAUAUACAUAGAAUAUAUAGCACACAUUUAUAUGUUCCAUAUAUAAAUAUUUAAUAAGAUUAACAGUGUCAAUAUAGUAUAUAAACAUUUUAUCAAAUAUGCUUUUAAUUAAAAUAAGGAAAAAGAAAACUAUUGAUCGGAACUCGUAUAUGGAAGUCGAAACAACGUCUUUUGCAAAAAGUAUUCAAUGCUUUAUCUCGAAAUAUCUUGAAGAGGACGCAUUUACUUGAAGUUUUCAUUCAAUUGUUACAUCUACAGAAAAAGGGUACCUCAAACGUGAAUGAUUCGUUGUAAUACGGAUUAAGAGUGCAUUUUUUGAUAGACGUUUUCUUCUUUUUCAACCUUUUGCCAUUUUGCAUAAGAGCAAUUUUUACAUAAGGAUCUGAUAAACCACCGACGUCCAUUUUCUUCAGAUUUUUCGCUUCCAA